CGCGAAAUUGUUGAAAGGGAAACGUUUGACACCAGUUAUGCGGGUGGACCAUCAGUCUUUUGCAAUGGGGAGUUGUGGGCGUUCAGACCGCAAGGCUGGCGUUUGCUUCAUCUUUGUUGUAAGUGAUGCACUUUUUCAUUUGCAGGUCAACAUCAGUUUGCUUUGCUGGACAAAACCCCAAGGGAAGGCGGCAGCUUAGGCUGUGUUAUAGCCCUGGCGCGAUACAGUGGAGUGGACUGAGGUUUCGCAGU
rnacentral:rRNA from 1 species